AAAGUCUUAAGUUAAGUAAACUAUUAGCCUUCAAAGUUGAAAAUGGAAAGUUUCAGACUUUG
rnacentral:tRNA from 1 species